GUUCUACAGGAUGAAACCUUCACUAGAAGAACACAUUUCAUGAUAAAUAGAAGGUACGCAGAUACAACAUAACUCCCUGGGAGCCAACCUUCAAUGUUGACCCAGGAAAAAAAAUCUCCAGUUCUGGAUUCCAUCAGGCACAUGUGUAUAUUUCUCCUCAAAUAUCGGAAGAUUUGAUGAGGAUUAAAUCUCAGUCCAUCUUUAAAGACUUGGUUCCCCUGCUGUGGGCUUCAGCUGCCAUUAAAGCACAGAUUCUAGUUAAAAUUGAAGUUCAAAAAGCUGUUACACUGCAGAGAAUUCAUCACUAGGAGAAGCUGCAUUGCUGGUACUAGUGGGAGUAGAGAACUGACAGCUCCUACAGUAAAGAACUGUAUUUUUGAGCAGCAGAACUUGAGGAUUUGCUGGAAAAUUACUCCUAUUUCUGUUGCACCCUUAGGAUGUAACCAGAAAUCAUGUGCAAGUCUUUCAGUCUGGGAGUUUCUGCUUCUGUAGACUGGUCCUGAGAGCUGAAUAGUGCAAGGAAGGAGCAGAGUCUGUAGGGAGACUUUCCAGAGCUGCCGCCCACUUGGCUGCAGCUCAGAUUGGGAUAUCAAUGCAAUUGAUGAAGCUUGACAUUUUAAUUGUCUUUUGUUUGCAGAACUAAAUUAGGUUAUGAAGAACAAUGAUCAGUGGCCGUGAUUAAAAGUUUGAAAUGUGCCAAGUAUCCUGAGAUUUGUACUAGAUUGUGAGUGUACAUUGUAUGUAAGUGCUAGGUUUGAAGUGGCUGUUAGCAAAUAGGGGCCAAGAAAACAACUGAGAUUGUCAAAGCCAAAUGAAAAUGCUUUUCCUCCUCCACAUUGUCCCUGAAGAGCUACUGUGUUAGAAUUUGGUUUCCAAAGUUAUCACUAAUUUGUGAACUAGCAGGAUUUUAAUUCUGCUUUAAGUGGAAUCAAUGCAACUGUAAUGCUAGAGUCUCUAGUGGCACUUCUGUAAUGAUAUCUCUAUAUUAUAUUUGACUUGCACCAUAGCAGCAAAUGAUUUAAAUGGAUAUUGCAUGAAUGUAAAAGAA